rnacentral:rRNA from 1 species
CACGUAGGGCGCAAGCGUUGUCCGGAUUUAUUGGGCGUAAAGAGCGUGUAGGCGGCCAUACAGGUCCGUUGUGAAAACUCGAGGCUUAACCUCGAGACGUCGAUGGAAACCGUAUGGCUAGAGUCCGGAAGAGGAGAGUGGAAUUCCUGGUGUAGCGGUGAAAUGCGCAGAUAUCAGGAAGAACACCCGUGGCGAAGGCGGCUCUCUGGGACGUUACUGACGCUGAGACGCGAAAGCGUGGGGAGCAAACAGG